UGAGUAAUGCUUGGGAACUUGCCUUUGCGAGGGGGAUAACAGUUGGAAACGACUGCUAAUACCGCAUAAUGUCUACGGACCAAACGGGGCUUAGGCUUCGGCGCAGAGAGAGGCCCAAGUGAGAUUAGCUAGUUGGUGGGGUAAAGGCUCACCAAGGCGACGAUCUCUAGCUGUUCUGAGAGGAAGAUCAGCCACACUGGGACUGAGACACGGCCCAGACUCCUACGGGAGGCAGCAGUGGGGAAUAUUGCACAAUGGGGGGAACCCUGAUGCAGCCAUGCCGCGUGUGUGAAGAAGGCCUUCGGGUUGUAAAGCACUUUCAGUUGUGAGGAAAAGUGAGUAGUUAAUACCUGCUCACCGUGACGUUAACAACAGAAGAAGCACCGGCUAACUCCGUGCCAGCAGCCGCGGUAAUACGGAGGGUGCGAGCGUUAAUCGGAAUUACUGGGCGUAAAGCGCACGCAGGCGGUUUGUUAAGCUAGAUGUGAAAGCCCCGAGCUCAACUUGGGAUGGUCAUUUAGAACUGGCAGACUAGAGUCUUGGAGAGGGGAGUGGAAUUCCAGGUGUAGCGGUGAAAUGCGUAGAUAUCUGGAGGAACAUCAGUGGCGAAGGCGACUCCCUGGCCAAAGACUGACGCUCAUGUGCGAAAGUGUGGGUAGCGAACAGGAUUAGAUACCCUGGUAGUCCACACCGUAACGCUGUCUACUAGCUGUUUGUGGCUUUAAGCCGUGAGUAGCGAAGCUAACGCGAUAAGUAGACCGCCUGGGGAGUACGGCCGCAAGGUUAAAACUCAAAUGAAUU
rnacentral:rRNA from 1 species